rnacentral:rRNA from 1 species
UACGUAGGGGGCUAGCGUUGUCCGGAAUCAUUGGGUGUAAAGCGCGUGUAGGCGGUCCGGUAAGUCCGCUGUGAAAGUCGGGGGCUCAACCCUCGGAUGCCGGUGGAUACUGUCGGGCUUGAGUACGGAAGAGGCGAGUGGAAUUCCUGGUGUAGCGGUGAAAUGCGCAGAUAUCAGGAGGAACACCAAUUGCGAAGGCAGCUCGCUGGGACGUUACUGACGCUGAGACGCGAAAGCGUGGGGAGCAAACAGG